CCAAGGAACCCAAAGGAACAAAGCGUUCACGCGAUAAGACAUAUUUGUUCCAAACAUUUGUGGUUUUAUGUACACAAGAAUUUUAAUUCAAGUGGAAAUUGUAAUGCAGAAUGACAACAAAAGAAAAUGUAACGAGAAAUUUAAGUUCCAUGGCGUUUUUUUCAGUAUAUAUAAGUAUAUAGGUAUGUAAGUAUUUGCAUGGGCUGGCCACACUGAUCGCUAAAUAGAAGGAAACGCGCUGUUGAAGAAUUAUAUUUGAUCACAUUUGCUUUUGUAUUCAAAAGUCAAACCCAGGUCCCCUUAGAAACUAACAAAAAUUUAUUAUUGCUAUGGAGAGCAAACAAGUAACAACUAAAAACAAAAAAUAUCACACUCGUCAAAAAUUCGAAAUUCUAAAUUUAAAAAAUUUUUGUAAAAGUUUUAUUUUAUAUCCAUUCAUAUAGAAUGGAAACACCAAAAUUCAUACGUCUAUUGCGAUAUUGAAUUGCGAGCCACGAGCAGACAGGUCUAUCAUCAGCUCACGUCUGAUCCGCAAGUUGAUUAUUAUUCUGCUUCCUACUGAACUCCUCCUGCUGCUCCUUGCUAUGCCAAUACAGACGUGCCCGCGCCACCACGACAACUUCAACACGAACUUGAACAAG